GUCCAGCCCUGAUGGAAGUGGCAUCCUUUUUUUGUUGGCUGAGGCUCUCGAAGCCAACAAAAAAAGAUACAGCGUACAGCAGGAAUUGCG
rnacentral:sRNA from 1 species